rnacentral:rRNA from 1 species
AGGACGAGCGCUGGCGGCGUGCUUAACACAUGCAAGUCGAGGGGGCGUAGCAAUACGUCACCGGCGAACGGGUGCGUAACACGUGAGCAACCUGCCACAGAGUGGGGGAUAGCCGGCCCAACGGCCGGUAAUACCGCAUACGAUCUUCUGGGGACAUCCCUGGGAGAUGGAAAGAUUUAUCGCUCUGUGAGGGGCUCGCGGCCUAUCAGCUAGUUGG